rnacentral:rRNA from 1 species
CCUCAGAUCGGACGAGAUUACCCGCUGAAUUUAAGCAUAUAACUAAGCGGAGGAAAAGAAACUAACAAGGAUUUCCCCAGUAACGGCGAGUGAAGCGGGAAGAGCCCAGCACCGAAUCCCCCAGUGUCAUGCUGGCGGGAACUGUGGUGUGUGGGACGCCACCAGUCGCAUGUGCGGGCACCGAAGUCCUCCUGAUUGAGGCUUCACCCAGAGCGGGUGUAAGGCCUUUGCUGGUGCACCGCUGUCCCGCGAGCGUCUCAGGAGUCGGGUUGUUUGGGAAUGCAGCCCAAAGUGGGUGGUAAACUCCAUCUUAAGGC